AUAGCGUAUAUUAAAGUUGUUGCAGUUAAAAAGCUCGUAGUUGAACUUCAGACCUGGUUGGGCGGUCUGCUUAACGGCAUGUACUGUCUGACUGGGUCUUACCUCUUGGUGAGCCGGCGUACCCUUUAUUGGUUGUGCGUUGGGGAACCAGGACUUUUACCUUGAGAAAAUUAGAGUGUUCAAAGCAGGCCUAUGCCCGGAUACAUUAGCAUGGAAUAAUAAAAUAGGACGUGCGUUUCUAUUUUGUUGGUUUCUAGAGUCGCCGUAAUGAUUAAUAGGGAUAGUUGGGGGCAUUAGUAUUCCAUUGCUAGAGGUGAAAUUCUUGGAUUUAUGGAAGACUAACUUCUG
rnacentral:rRNA from 1 species